GGCUGCUUUGUUCCAUUCAAGCCGCCGCAAAAAUUGCGCUCGAUUUAGAUUCAAAUGAUGAGUUAUUCGAUUCAAUAAAAUUCGCUCACUUCGAUAGUAUCCGUACACAGGCCGAGGCAGCAUCAGCUCAUUGUUUGUCAUGUCUGUCGUCGCUGUUCAUUAAUCAACAAAUAGGAACUGCCAAAGCGCGCCAUUCAGUUUAUGGAAAAAGAUUAUAUAAUUGUGCUGUUUGCCUAAGAAUUAGGCAAUUUUUUGUAAACUGACUGCCGGAUAUCGAAUUUUCGCCUAUUGUGAUUAUUUUCAAGAAUGCCAACAACAAUGAGUGAAAAAUCUGUUGGAUAGGAGAUUCAUUUCUUAGGAACAAAGAUGAUUUUCUGUAAUUUUAGAAACUCAAAUACAACACAAUUAGCAAGCUGUGUAUAUUGUUGUUGGAUUCUGGGGACCGACACAGCCGCCCAAGGCAUGAACGAAGGAUACCCCAGAAGAGAAUUUAGGUAUCAAUACACCGCCCGCCAAUACCACGAAACAUCGAACGAAAAUUAAAAUGGUCUUUGUUCCUGAUUUUUUCUUGGUAUUUUAUAGACUUUUCUUACAUCGGCUCGUCUGUUGAUCCUGGACAGGAAUAUGCAAAGCUUAUUGGUGCCAAAACGUUUUAUGCUUCCCCAAAAAAACAUUUUCUAUAAAUAAAAUACACCCCUACGCUCUAUCAAUUAGCACUAUACCACCGAUCGACUUGUUAAAAGAUAAAGCAAACAUAGCAAUUGUUUUAUGCAGCAGUAGCCAUAACCAUGAUUAAUGAUCCCCUUCAAAGUAGGAGAAAGAUUUGGCAAUGUUAAAGUUUAUAUGCAACGGAUCGAUAGCCGAAAACACACAGCCAUGAGAAGCAGGGCUCGUUAGAGGGGCUAAGAACUAAUCGGUUCCGUAAAAUUGAAGGAUGGGUCUAUGUACACUUCUGAAAGUCGAGGUCAUGGAAACACUCGACAAUAUCGGGGUACCCCAAAUGGAAGCAGAGCUAUUGACGGACGUCUAUUGGCUCUGACGAGGAGGAUGGUGAUGGUUGAUGGAUGGUUGUCACGCGCCACUGUUCGGCGCCUCAAGACGAAAGUUGAACCAUAGAGAAGAUCUCUAUAGUUCUGUUUAUAGCACCAGUUUCUGCUAAUUAACUCGGGCCAUAAAAAAGAGUUCGGCAACACCAAGUAUCAAAUAACAAUUGUAUAAUUUAUCCUAUCUCCAAAUGCAUUAAGAUUAAGAGUCUUACAUUUCUAGUUUUGGCUUAGAAUCGACUGAAACAAUGAAGUAGAUCAUUUCAUUUCCUGUGUGUUGUGUGCAGCACUAAAACUAGAGUCGCAAACUAUUAACGAGCACAAUUUAUGGCUUUGCUAAUUUACAUUUCAAUCUCCCGCCAAAUCUGAGAGACUGCUCUAUUCUAGCAUAUUCUAUUGUGGUCUACUCUGGUCCAGUUCUACAGCCCAUAAACGUUCUACACGCACAUGCUGCUGCCAGUCAAUAGAUCACGAUCAGCCGACCAACGCAUUAUUGUCAUCAGCAUUAUUAUUAUCCAUCAGCAGCAGGCAGCAUCGAAAUCAGCAUCGGAUGCCCGGGAAGCCGGUCUGAACACACUUAAAAGUGCCAUUUCGGAAUUGAUGUUUAUGCUGAAAUCGCAAAAAUAUGCAAAUUAGUGAAUGGCAGCCCCCAGUCUGUGUCCCAUCUCCAAUCUCCAUAGAAUGGCAGCGGCAGCCCAGACAAAAAAAGUCUCAUAAUGGUCAAACACAAUAUAAAUAUUGUCAAUCGCUGUUUUAAUAAGUCAACGUGGGCCCCGAAAUUAACGUAUCGUAUCCCACAAAUAGAAACUAGGAGAGCGGAACAGCGAAAGGAGAUCUGUGAUUGUACUAUCGGAUAAUGGAUGAGAUUGGUCAGAGACCGUCCCCAUGUAGAGCUCCCCUUUUCUUGUUUCAGCCUUAAGUGUGGGACUUGUUUUUUUUUUAUUUUUGCAUAAUCCCAGGGGCCGCGUCGCUCUGUCUAACAAAAACCAUUUCGCUCGGGCUUAAUUUAUGCAAAUUCUAUUCUAAUUAAUAUUAAAACCAUUUGUUUUUUGCGCUGUCUAUGAGCUUAGGAGGCGGCAAACUUCUUUCUCGUGGCAGCAGCCUUUUCUUUGCUGUGGCCCCCUAAUACUCACACGAGCUAGAUCAUUUUGCAUUUAAGGGUAUCUUAAAGAGGGAAACUUUCAUUGGUUUAGUGAUCAACUUUGGCGUGAGAAAUUUUUAUAAAAUUAAUUUGCUGAUGAGCUUGAAUAAACAUGGUUUUUAAAAACAUAAGUUUGAAUUGAA